UGCAAGUCGAGCGCACCCUUCGGGGCGAGCGGCGGACGGGUUAGUAACGCGUGGGAACAUACCCUUUGGUACGGAAUAGCCUCGGGAAACUGAGAGUAAUACCGUAUGUGCCCUUCGGGGGAAAGAUUUAUCGCCAAAGGAUUGGCCCGCGUUAGAUUAGAUAGUUGGUGGGGUAAUGGCCUACCAAGUCUACGAUCUAUAGCUGGUUUUAGAGGAUGAUCAGCAACACUGGGACUGAGACACGGCCCAGACUCCUACGGGAGGCAGCAGUGGGGAAUCUUAGACAAUGGGCGCAAGCCUGAUCUAGCCAUGCCGCGUGUGUGAUGAAGGCCUUAGGGUCGUAAAGCACUUUCGCCAGAGAUGAUAAUGACAGUAUCUGGUAAAGAAACCCCGGCUAACUCCGUGCCAGCAGCCGCGGUAAUACGGAGGGGGUUAGCGUUGUUCGGAAUUACUGGGCGUAAAGCGUACGUAGGCGGAUCAGAAAGUAUGGGGUGAAAUCCCAGGGCUCAACCCUGGAACUGCCUCAUAAACUCCUGGUCUUGAGUUCGAGAGAGGUGAGUGGAAUUCCAAGUGUAGAGGUGAAAUUC
rnacentral:rRNA from 1 species